rnacentral:lncRNA from 1 species
CCAACGCAGCACGUGUAAUGUACAGUUUUUCCCUAUACAAGGGGAAUUGCCCAAGUUAUUUCUUAGUCCAAAUAGUUAAUUCAAAUGUAGUUACUGGUUUUUGCUUUGUAGAGUCCGAAUGCACUAGUUUAGGUUUCUGAGUCGAGUCUUAAUUUUGUUUCUCUUGGAACUGGAAGACUAUUUCUUACACAAGGUAACUUGAAUCAUGGCAGGAAUUGGCCGAGAUGAUCUUCCAAGUUGUACUGUAGACGAUAGGUGUUUAAUGUAUUUAGUUUCUAAAGAGGACAUCGGACGAUAUUUACUUAUUUUAUUUAAACUUUAUUUAUUUUUUUGAACUAUUAUUUAAAUUUGGACUUGUAUGGGCUUGGGUCCAAGCUCGUUAGGGUUGCUUUACUAUUUAAAUCUAUUUUGCAUUGUAAUUUUGAGUUGAUGAUGAAUGAAUAAUUAUUUUGGUGGCUUAUGGCGCAUUCCUCCCUUUCUUCUAUUGAAUUCUUCUUCUAUCCCCUCCCAUAAUUCCUCAUUCUUUCUGAAUCUUUCUUCUGUUUCUAUUAAUUAUUCUAUUGGUGCUGCAUCAAAUUUGGUAUUAGAGCUUAAAUUUGGGUAAUCUCUCAUCUUCAAUCCAAAAAUCUUUUUCUAUUUCUUUCCUAAGAACUUGUGGAACAGCACAAACAAUUAAACUUUUAGCAUGAGCAGCCAAGUUAUUAUUUUUCCAACUUCUUCAUAGUUGUUCGAAAAAAAAAAACUGUUCAGGUUACUGUUCACAGGCGGAAAUUUCAGUUUAAGUUUUUUCUGCAAUUUCAGUUCACACCCCAGCCAAAAAAAUAAAAUAAAAUCGUGUUACUGUUCACGGGUACUAUUCACACCCAAAAAUUCAUUUUUCCUAUAUUAUCAGCUUCAAAAAAAAAGUUAUUGUUCACAAAAAAAAAAAAAAAAAAAAUCUCAUUUUUUCCCUGCUGCUGCUCCUAAAUAAAAAAAUUAAUUAUGGUGUUGUUCCACAAAUCCCAAACCCUAGCAUUCAAGCCUACUCAGCCCUUCAGCCCAUAUAUUCCAUCUCUAUAACCUACUCCAUUCAUUUUUUUAUCAAAACACUUGGGCCAUAAGUGGCCCAAAUUACUCCCAAAGCCCACUAAACGCACAGCCCAUCUCUCAUCAUCUAUUUAGCCAAUCCACUUGCUUUUCAGCCCAAUAAACACUAAAUCCAACCCACUUAUCACAUAUUAUCACAAUCGGCCCAACGCCAUUCAACCCAUAAUCAGUCCCAAAUAUCCAACCAAGGUCGAUUAUAACCAAUCCAUUAACAUCAAAUACCACAGUUUUACCCGAUUUCUCUCUCACAACCACUCUCUUGCCACUGCCGCCUCUAAUCACCAUCACGCCACCACUUCAUUAUCUAUUGUACCCAGGCAUCCAGAGCACCGCUUCAUCGCCAUAGGCCACCACCACCAACCCAAGAUCAUACACUUCCACCACAAUUACCACACUCAUAUAUUUCCUCGUCCAUUUCAACAAUCUAAAAGCCACAGUCACUACACACAGUUUUACGUCCACACCAGAACCAGCACUAGUUACAGUCUACAGGGGCUAAAACCAUUGGAUACGAUGGGUAGAACAGAAGCAUAGUUGGGGCUCAUAAGUUGGCAAUUCAGAUCAAUCGGCAUACAAAUAAUCAAAACUAAACAACAGGGAGUCCUUGAUCUUUAUUUAGUAUUGGUUUAUACUACUGCUUCAUUUUUAAAAUUGCACCAAUUAAAAUCUUGUGCUGCUGUUAUCGUGAUAAUUUUAGCCUUAAACCCCACUUGAUCGAAACCAUUAAUCGAAUUGACACCAGUGACCGAAUUGACUUCCAUUGUUCCUCACUUAAAUGGAUUGGAGAAUUUGACUAGUGUGUUUGACCGUUGCUUUGCCAUUUUACAUGUACCAACAGUAUUAGCUUGUUUUGGAUUUAAUUAAUCCUAAUAUUUAAAAUUAAAUAAAAAAAUUGGUACAAGUUAUUUUCCAUUGCUUGCACGUAUUGUUCACUGAUCUCAUCAUAACACAUCAUUUAGUUGGUAUUACAUUGCAUGUAGUUGCGUAGUGGUCGUCUUGUCAUCUCUAUUUCCAAUACAUUGACCAUGGAUCCAUCCCAAUUUGAUGCACUCACUAGACAAUUAGCGCAACUUUCCACUAGUCUAUCGACUGUCCAAUCAGAUAUAACUGCUAUUCGUGAGGAGAGAAAGACCCUAGCUGGUAAGUUGAGCAAUUUUAAGCGAACCCCUCGUUUGACUGACACUAAUUCUGAAGCGUCUCAUAAUAGACAAUAUCAUCGUGGACAAAGUGAUCAAGAAUAUUUUCGACGUGAUCGUAGGAAUAGGGAUUAGGUUCGUGAGCGAGAACAAGGCCAUGAUCAUCAUGGUACUCAUUCUCUUCCUCGUCGUAAGGAGCGUUUCUUUAGAGACAUUGACUUAGAUAUUCCUACUUUCAAUGGUUGCUUAGAUCGUGAAGUUUUUACCCAAUGGAAUACCCUUACACAAGAGAAUUGGCUAGUAACUGAGUACAUUGCUCAAUUUGAGGAAUUUCGAGUGAAAUGUCAUGUCGUUGAGGAUGAGGCCCUGACUUUAAGUAGGUUUAUACAAGGUCUACGAAAUGAACUUAGGCGUGAGCUUUUCUUUCGAGGCAUCACUACUCUUGAUCAAGCUUACUCUUUAGCUCGGGACUACGAGUUACUUAUCAGUACUGCAUAUAAAAAGCGUGAUCACCAUUGUUCACCCAUUUCAUUAGCGUCGUCUCAUCAUAAGUCUAUCGUAGAGCCUUCCCAAUCUAGCGUUCCUUCAAGUGUAAAGGUCGUGAUAGCCCAAGGUCGUCUUCUUCAUGUAGAAAGCGUAAUAGCAAUCAUCUUUCGGUUUCAUUGGCUCCACUUCCUCCUGUUAAGUCCCUUCUAGGACCUCCCCCGUCUAAUGUGGCUCCACUUCCUCUUGUUAAGUCCCUUCUAGGACCUCCCUCGUCUAAUGUUCCUCCACUUUUGGAAAAUAAGGGUAUAAUUUGUAAAACUCCAAAGACUUCUCACUUGCUAUGCAUCAGUUGUAAGGACUUUGGCCACAUCUCUUUCAAAUGUCCUAGCCGAGCCUUAGUCAUAGAAGAAUGAAAGAAUGCAAUAGAAGAGUCGUUAGAAGAUCUAGCAUAUGGCCCUAAACUUGAAGAUUUUGAUGAUUAUAGUGAGGACACUUCCUUAAGUGGAAUCCCGACCCUUCUCGAAACUUUAGAAACUAUUUUCGACAACUCUCGAUCGCAUGUUAUAUGUCAUACCCUUACCCAACUCAAAGAGUUUGAUGAUUUUACGAGUCACCCUUGGAGAAUCCAGUCGCUUAUUCUUAGCACUAAAUCGAAAUUCUCCACUACUGACCAACCUCAAACUGAUGGUCAAAACGAAAUUGCUAACCGAAGUCUUGGCAAUUUAUUACAGUCUCUAGUCCAGAAAAAUCUUGAGAAUUGGGACUCGAUCCCCCCUACUGUUCACAUCGCAUCUAAUGAUUCUAUGAAUCGGUCUCUAGGUCUAAAUUCAUUUGAAGUUGUUCAUAGUUAUAAGUCUAGGCGACCGUUAGAUCUUAUUCCCAUGUCCCCGCAUGCUAGUGUGUCGUUGUCAGCUGAAGUAUUUGUAUAUCAUCUUCAUAACUUGCAUAUUGAGAUCAAUAAACAACAUGACGCAAGUAAUGCAUUAUAUAAACUUCAAGCUGAUUCGCAUAAACGAUAUUUUGAAUUUAACAUUAGGGAUUAUGUCAUAUCGCAAGCUUGUAGUGCUGGUCCUUUAAAAAUUUUAAAGCAUGUUGGUUCAAAUGCACAUGUCAUUGCCCUUUCAUCACAUUUUAGCCACCACUCUACUUUAAAUACUAAGGACUUCAUUACUUACAAAUACCGUAUUACUUCCUUUGAUGAUCCAUUUCUACCUAACUUUGUGGACCCCCAAUUUGACUAUAUUGAUAUUUCUACUUUAAUACCAUCUAUCAUAGCAGACAAAGAUAAAAUUGAUAUUAUUUUAGAUGAAUGUGUUGUAUUGACCAAUGAUGGCAAAAUUCAGUACUUCCUUGUUUGUUGGGUAGAUCGACGUACUUCUUAUGCUCCUCAUUAUAUACAAUCAUGUGAAAAUUUUGAAGAUGAGGUGCAUGAGUAUUGGUUAUUUGAAGUCCAGUAUCAGUAUUUGGUUAGAAGGAAAGAUCGUCCCCCUUGGUCAGAUCAUAUUCUUAGGAAUAAGCUACAGUUUUCAGUACUAUCAAUUAUGGAAUUUCGUUACUUGGUUCGUCAGAAAGAUCGUCCCCCGUAGCUUGACUUGAAGCAUUUGGAGUAUCAGAUUGACUGCAGCCUAUGCUAUCUAUCAACUCAACAAGGUCGAGUUUUUCUCUCACCCCGGGAGAGUUGAUGAGGAUAUCGGACGAUAUUUACUUAUUUUAUUUAAGCUUUAUUUAUUUUCUUGGACUAUUAUUUAAAUUUGGACUUGUAUGGGCUUGGGUCCAA